UCAAAAUUUGUAAAUAUUUGAAUCAUAUUUAAAUUUGAAAUCUGAAUAGAUCAUCUCAAUCCAAACAAAUAUCUGAACUAUAUGACAAAUCUCUUAUUAUAACGUAAAAAAUAAUUUAAUUAAUUGUUUCACUAGAUGCACGACGCAGAUUACUACCUAAUUAAUGUUAAAACUAAUAAAACUUGUUGCAUUCAAAGACUAAUCAACUAUAUCUAAUCGAUGCCAUGAAAUAUAAUAAGAACCCAUUAUUACGAGGAUAUUUAUGAAUGUCUUUUUAAAAUAAAUGUUAUUUAUUGCUAUUACGUUUUAUAUUAAUAAGGUAGUGAUAUACAUGAUUUAAGUCUAUUUAUAUCACCAC
rnacentral:lncRNA from 1 species